rnacentral:misc_RNA from 1 species
AAGUCAGAUCAAUAUGAAAUAAGAACUUUGAAAGCAAAGGUUGCAAAUACAUUGGUGACAAGGUUUAUCUCGUCUAAUAUUCAUGUAACAACCUUAAACAUUAUCAGUCUACAAAGUUAUACUAAAAUUUGCUUACAUAAAUGUAUUUAAAUACAUUUGUCAUAACAAUAUCAGCAGUGUAGUCAUGCAUUCACACAAACGAUGCAUGUAAUAUGUACAUCAUUCUAUGCUUAAAAAUUCAUUAUUUUCACGCUGCAUUCAUACCACGCAGGGAUUUUUGUGUUUGCCUAACCCUAUCUGAUUCAAUUCUACACAGUUAUUCACUGAUUCUUCAAUUACUUUUAAAUCACAAAACAGGCUAAUCUUUAACACUGUUUGCCAUUCUGUACUACCUCAAGAUGUAUCUCCAUAACUGUUAUAAAUUUCUGUGUCUUUCAAAGUGACUUUGUGAUAUUAUUAAAUAAUCGUUUACCCCACCAUGAUUCCAAAUCAAAUGGUUUAAAAUCUGAAAUAGUAUAUUUAUUUUAAUCUAUUUCAAUUAUAUAUAGUUUUUUUUAAAAGAGAAAAAU